GGAGAGAUGCCGGAGCGGCUGAACGGACCGGUCUCGAAAACCGGCGACCCGAAAGGGUUCCAGAGUUCGAAUCUCUGCGCUUCCGCCA
rnacentral:tRNA from 1 species